rnacentral:rRNA from 1 species
CAGCCGCCACGGGAAUACGGAGGGUGCAAGCGUUAAUCGGAAUUACUGGGCGUAAAGCGCACGCAGGCGGUCUGUCAAGUCAGAUGUGAAAUCCCCGGGCUUAACCUGGGAACUGCAUUUGAAACUGUCAGGCUGGAGUCUUGUAGAGGGGGGUGGAAUUCCAGGUGUAGCGGUGAAAUGCGUAGAGAUCUGGAGGAAUACCGAUGGCGAAGGCAGCCAUCUGGCCUAAUACUGACGCUGAGGUACGAAAGCAUGGGGAGCAAACAGGAUUAGAUACCCGCGUAGUCCCUGUCUCUUAUAC